CUACGGGAGGCAGCAGUGGGGAAUAUUGCACAAUGGGCGCAAGCCUGAUGCAGCCAUGCCGCGUGUGUGAAGAAGGCCUUCGGGUUGUAAAGCACUUUCAGCGGGGAGGAAGGCGGUGAGGUUAAUAACCUCAUCGAUUGACGUUACCCGCAGAAGAAGCACCGGCUAACUCCGUGCCAGCAGCCGCGGUAAUACGGAGGGUGCAAGCGUUAAUCGGAAUUACUGGGCGUAAAGCGCACGCAGGCGGUCUGUCAAGUCGGAUGUGAAAUCCCCGGGCUCAACCUGGGAACUGCAUUCGAAACUGGCAGGCUAGAGUCUUGUAGAGGGGGGUAGAAUUCCAGGUGUAGCGGUGAAAUGCGUAGAGAUCUGGAGGAAUACCGGUGGCGAAGGCGGCCCCCUGGACAAAGACUGACGUUCAGGUGCGAAAGCGUGGGGAGCAAACAGGAUUAGAUACCCCGGUAGUC
rnacentral:rRNA from 1 species